ACAAAAUCUCAUCAAGUAUUUUCAGUUUAGUUUUUAUUGCAAAUAUUUUUGGACAUGUAAAAUAAGACAAAACUGUCUGAGAAAAAGUACUGCGCAGAUCUUUUUCAAUUUUAACAUGAACAUUUUUUUUUUACAGUGUGCAACCUGAUCGUUUGAUUCAACAGAGUAGCAGAAUA